GAAGUUACUUGUCUAUCCGGGGCAUCGGUUACAUGUCCUUUCUGCUGAGGAGGGGGAGCGGAGUGAGGGGGAGAGCUUCAUUCAUCCGAGUCUGGUCUGAGGAUGGAGGUGACAGCUUUGACUACUGCUACCAGUUGUGUUUUCACACCAAAGCCUCUUCGUUCCUGGUUCUGAAACUUGGCCACAAGAAGUGUCUGGUUGUGGACCUUUUCCAUAUAGUCUACUCGGCACGUGGAGGGUGCUUUCCGUCCGAGGAGCAUGUCUUCAGUCACCGAAUUAAUCCAGACCCUCAAUUCACGUAUGAGUGGACAACCACUAGACACCAGACAUUUCUGCAGAAUCAACAGCAAAACUGAGAAGGAUCAAGAUGAACAAACAGGAAAAAAUAUAUAUAUAUAUAUUUUGGGGAACUGAAAGUGAGAAAGCACCGACUGGUCUCCUCUAAAUCCAUGGCAGGACUCAGACAUGCGUCCUUGGGAGGAAUACACAGAAGCGGUGCUACACUCUCCUCGCUGCAUCGCGUCAGGAGGCUCAUGAUGUCGACCUGUUCUACUGCUGGUAAGGUUCAUCUCCAUCACUCGGUCUGGCGUCUGCUAGCUUUCUC